UGCUUGUUCCACUGCUCCAAGGCUGACUGAUACCAGCAAUUAAAACUGCAUUUCUUUAUGGGGCAAUUUGGUAUGGUUGCUGCAUCUUAGGAGCUCAGGCACUUUGGAGGCAGAGUUCAGAGAGGGCUUUGUCAUCUGGAGGGGGCUGUAAAGGCCACACUGGCAAUGAAGUGAACACUCAUGUCAUAUAGACCCUCUCAACAUGUUAACUCGAUUAGCAUGUGCUUUGUGGAAGGUUUUGUUGUUGUUAUUGUUUGUGGGGUUUUUUUCUGUGUUUUGUGUUUUCAGCUGCAGAUCAACUAAUUUUCUUGGUCCAAUUAGAGUUACAGCUGCUAAAGCCUAAGGCAUGACUGGCUGAUUGGGUUUUGAAGAAUGUGACAUUUUGCAGCUAAAAGCUUUAUCAAGGGUAAGCAGCAUUAACCUCUUUUCUUGCUGCCUUUUUUCUCUUUAAGCAAUAGAGAUUUGCUGUCUCCAGCUGGACCCACUGCUCAUGCCAAAGGCUGGGCAGCUCAUGAUAAAUGAUUGGUUCCCCACAACUUUGCAUCCUAGUCCUCCCAGCCCCAGCCUUCUGCCAGGGAAGCUCUUCUCCUGGAGCCUUCUGCACUCCAGGUUUUCCUCCCACUUGUUCCCUGAGUGGUUGUGAUAUCCCAUUUGCUGAGUUUAUCCAUCUACAACAAGGAUGGUGGCCAGAAGCAGCUGUGCCCCUGCUCAACCAUUCCCACCUCUGUCGUCUGUUCCUACCUCACACAGCCCUUGCUGCAUCCCCUGUCUACUGCCCUCUCACCCCAGCACAGCUAGAUCAGCUGGAAGAUGUUUUGACAAGCACUAAAUGGAACAACUUGCAAAACUGGAUCAAAAUCAACAAAUAAUUUUGGCUGGGAAAAAAAAAAAAAGUUGUGAAGAGAAGGAGGAAUUUUGAAAAUGCCAUGCAAUGUCACUUAGACAUGUGCAAAAUGAGAUGUUCCGUUUUGGAAAAGCCUAAAUCACAUCAAAGAUUUUCUGACUUCAGAUUUUCAAACAGCAUUCCAAUCACCGGAUUCCAAAACAGUGUAUUUUGAUAGCUGAUUAGCAGUUAUGUAUUAAAAAAAAAAAUUGCAGAAGAUUCAGAAGACAAUGUUUUCUGUUGGCCUGAGCAAAAAGGUCUCAGGAUGACCUGAAACACCUUUACUUUCAGGUUUUCACUAUUUUAUUUUGGGGAAAACUUUCUACUUCAGUUUGACCCAAACAAUCCCCUCUACCUCUCCAGUAUUUAUCCCAAUGAAAAGACACACUAAGAAGGUUCCUCUUUCACUCAGUCCAAGCCAUGGUCUUGAUUUCUACCAUUUUAAACGAAUUUUGUACAGCUUCUUUCAUCUUUGGCAACAGGGGCAGCUCCCAAAGACAGAUUGUCUUUGCUGGGCUAACAGUAGCCUUUGAAAAUCCACCCAGUAGGCACACCUAGAGUUUAAAUAUAAUGUGAAGAGAUUUGAAGUUAAUGUAAUGCACUUUUAAUGCAGCCAAGCCUAGAGGUAGCAGCUUUCAGCACAAUGCCUCACUCAGAAAAGGAAGUGAGUGACCCACUCCAUUGAAGUUGAAAUUAAAAUGGAAAUGAUCUUCCUCACUCAUCCAUCAUGACACCUUUAAAAAGCUUCAGUCUUCAGUCAUCAAGAGAAAAGGUGGGAUGUAUUUUUUAAUUCUGUUUCCAUUAUGCUGUGAGUUAAUUUUCAUGGAAAUUCUGAGAAAUCACCUGGGAGAGACCCCAGAAAAAGAAGGCAAAGGAGAAUGGAUUUUAAGUGGUUUAUAGGAACUUAAAAGAGAAGAUUCUGUGAUUCAUCUCUAAAGUGUGGUGCCACUUCCUCCAGCCAGUAGUAGCAGCAUCCUGGCAUUCCAAGGAGGCAGGUUGGGACCUGCUGUGCAGGGCAGGUGCCUGACCUGGCUUGACCAAGGGCAUUGAUGCUCAAAGCAAGGGUGACAAAGGGCAGCAGCAGCAGCCAGAGCCACAGCCAUACCCCGGGUGCCACGUCCCCAGCCGGUGCCUGCCCACCCCAGGGCUUGCAGGCUGUCACUGCUCUGCUCUGUCACAGCAGAGACUUGUGCUAUCCCAUCUGCAUCCCAUUCUGCACAUCAGGGAUUGCAGUGUGGGCUCAUCUUCACCACACAAAGGUGUCAGCAGGAAAUGGGACUUCAAAGGCUUGAAAUGCCCUGCCACUAAGCCAGGAGUCUGACUGCAGGGUCUGAAUCUGGCUCAGAGCCGAAAUGUGCAACCCUGUGAACCAUUUGUGGCAUUUCUUUUCCUCCAGCAUUUCUUUGGUGUCUCUCAUCACUGCCACUUGCUAAUUAGCAUGCUUAUUGUGGGUUGCUUGCUUCUUUUGAAAUGUGCUAAGACACACAGUUCUGGAAAAAGCACACUGACAAACUUGAAACACCUGUAAUUAUCUGCAGUAAUAGUUACAACUUGGGUCCAAUGGCAGGGAGCCACGCUAUCCUGCUGUAUCACAUCCUCUGCCUAUAGCAGGCAGAUGUCCCCUGCUCCCCAAAGCACCUUCCCCACAGCCAAACAGCUCUUGGCCCUCCAUAGCAAGGAGUGUUCGUCACAGCCAGGCAGCAGCACCAUUUCCACACCAUGCUCAAAAGUGUGUCUGUUGCUACAGGGGAUGAUUGAGUACAGCUGCCAAAAAUCACCAGGGAAUCUCUAAACUUCACAGUUGAGAUAAUUUCACUGCCUUCCUUGUAAUUUCCUUAUUAGAUCUGAAUCCUGUAGGACUCAGUCAGGACCCACCCCAUCUUUCUCGCCUGGCCCACAGUGCUGAAAUCAAACGCGAACACUGUGAAACCUGAAUCAUCUCCUUAAUCAAACUUCAGGGCACAGGCAGUAUGACAAGAAAACCACUUCUGGAGAAAACAAACAGUGUUUUAACCAGCACCAGCCUCCCUGCCUGAUAAGGAGGACACCAGUUUGUAGGUUCUUCCAUGUUCUUCCAACCUACGCAUCAGCCCCUGCAUCCUUGCUCAGAUCACACAGCAUCUGCACGAUCUGAAUCACACAGGCAGGGCUUAUUCAUUGUCACAUGGCUAAAGAAAACCUACACUCAUCACUUGACAUAGCUGCAACUUACCCCAGGACAACAAAGAGACUGACAAUUUAGGCAGCAGUUGGAAGCUCCCUCUCUGGGAGCUCUCGUGGGACAUGGGGACCUGAUGAAGCUCCUCAGGCCUCCAGGAAGCUCUGUACCAAUGAAUGUACCAGCCAUGUCAGCACAAAAUUGAGCAUCCUGAAAAAUGCUUUAUCUGAAACACAGAAGAGUAAUAGAAAAGUUGAACCCAAAGAGCAAAACAUUCUCUGCCCUUCAUCUGAAAUGGGCAGCAAAACUCCCUGAUCAGUCUAGAAAAAAGAGCUCCAUCUGUACCUUAAAAGGGUAGCCAGCCUGCCUGCUCACUCCUGGAGGUGCACCCAUAAACCCUCUCUGCUCCUUUAGCUGAAUCCGGCUGCAGAGUAAACAGGGGCUGGGCUCUUGGGCUGAUUCUUGUCACCUGUGCCAUUCCUUUUCACUAAUUUAAAAACACCGGUAUGCUCCAUUACUCUUUGCUAGGUGCAGCUUUCUGAGCCCACAGAGUAGUUCCAGCUCAGCGUGGUGAAAGUGCAAGAUGGAGGAGAAGAUGAGACAGGAGUUCUACACUUGGCAUUUGUAGCAUUUGCCCACCUGUGAAACACAGUGGUGUGGAAAGGGAUGGUGACAUUUCUUCAUCACCCCUGAGCUAAUGUCUGCGCCUCUGGGCUUGCCUUGCUCACAUCUGAAUCACCCCAUGGUGGUUGCUUGCAUUCCCCUUCCUGCUCUCUGCCAGGUUCUCCCCUGGGCUUAGGAGCAAGAGAAGACAUUGUCCCAUGUGGGCACCACCAGCGACCACCUGCACCACCUCUGCACAUCCUUGCCAGUGCCAGUGCAGCCUUUGUCUCACAGGUGCAUGACCAUGAAGGAAGCAGGGUGUUUCCAUCAGAGGGUGACACAGGGCCAUCCACCAUGUCAGAGGGAGGACAGUGAGGGACAGAGGCAGGAAGGGAUGCUCCUCACUGCAUGGAUUAGGGCAGGAGGCUGGGAGGGUGGUUGGCCACACUGUACCUGCCUGCCUUGGUUCUGAAGUCAUGUGGCAGCAGAUACUCUGCGUGAUCAUGGCCCUCUUGUCGAAGGGGCAAGAGGGGCCAAAGUAGUGAUUGGAAGUUCCUUGGCCCUGCAGCCCAUGGAGCUGGGGCUUAGCUACGAACCCAGGCCGGGACCUCCUGCCUCACUUCCACAGCCUCCUGCCACUGCCCUGGGUCCUGCUGGACACCAAUCCAAACCUCAGCUACAGUGUAAUAUCCAUCCUUGCAGCCAAAAGCACUUUGGAACAUGUAUGUUUAAGCACCUGGCUAAAACCAUCAUGGCAAAGAACCAAAUCAUGUCACCCAUCCUCUUAAUAUAAUUUAAUGUAUAUGGUGUGCAUACAUUCGAUGGUCCAAACUCAGAUUCAACAAAAUAAACAAAAACAGCUGAUAUUUGACAGCUGUUUCUGCAGAUGGCAUAACUAAAUUUUCUUAUCCUUUUAUGUUUGUCUUUAAUAGAGGAAUAUGAUUUAAUUGCACCUUAUUUGCAAGACAGUUUAAAUUCAUUUUAUAAAAUAACCAGCGUAAAAUUCCCUUACCUAAAUUAUCUGUAGAUUACUUUUGAGUCUUUAUCUGUUUUUUCUCAUUACUUGUCUUCUUUUCCCCUCUCACAUUAUCUUAAAAUGUAGUUUUUCCUUUGUUCACCAUACUUCUCCCUCCCUUCCUCUCUGCUUCACUCAUUUUUUUGUUUGCGUCUUUCUUUCUUUAUUUUAUUGAAAUAAUAAAAAAAAAGAGAGUGGAUUUAUUUAUUGUUUUUCAUCUCGCUGUCCCAAGGAAAUAAGACAUGUGACAACCCAGUCUGGCCAUCAGUCUCCCUAGUUUCUAGAGUGAAAGCCUCAAACAUAAAAAAGUCUUACAAGUUGCAUGAAAACCAAUGACAAAGUGAAGAUAUUCAAGCUGGAAAUGUGCUGAGGGGGAGGCCACAGCAUAAAUUUAACAGUUAUUUUUCCUGUUCAGUAUGCAGUCAAGCCAAACUGCAAAUGGAGAUCAGACACAUGAUCACUGUGUUGUUUGGGCUCUAGAGUGGAUAUAGAGAUAGGGACAGUGGGUACAAAUUUACAGGAACUCACAUUCUUUCUGCUGUUCACUGCACAACUUGCUUUCUGAAUUUCCUAGAAGACAUUUUAUUACAGUAAAAACAAACAAAACCUCUGCUACAUCUGGUUUAUGAGUGGGGAAAAAAUGUUGGCACUGAGAAAGGGAAAACAUAGGAAUGACAGAACAUAAAGAAAAAGGUUUUGGGACUAAAUGCUGCCUCAGAGUUGUGAACAAAAAAACUGUUUCCUGCUGUUUCAUUCCUGUUUUGUUCAAAGAAAGAGGGUUUCAUAUACCUUCAGUGUAAAUAAAGAACGGCUCAAUAAGAAAA